ACUUAAAGGUUAAGUAGAAAUUUAUUAGUAAUUAAUUGGUUGAUAGGAAAUCUUUAUUAUUAAGGGUUUGAUAUAGACAGUAAGGUAGAAUUGGUUUGUUUAAUAUCAAAGGUAAAUAAAAGAGAUAGAAAAUGAGAGUUAAGAAAAUUAAGGGAUAAACUAGGAUUAGAUACCCUAUUAUACUUAUAAAGAAAUUGUGAAUAAAAUACUGGGAGAUUAAUAGUUAUAGUCUUUAAAUUUAAAGAAUUUGGCGGUAUCUUAGUCCUGUUAGAGGAACCUGUCUUAUAAAACGAUAAACCACGAAGAAUCUUACUUAUUUAAUAGUUUAGUUUGUAUACCGUCAUUAAAGAGAACUUCAAAAGGAUAUUAGUUAUUAGAAUUACUUGAGGGUAAAUAUAUUAGAUCAAGGUGCAGUUAAUAAAUAAGGUAAGAUGGGUUACAAUAUAAUUUUAUAUAGAAUGGAUUAGGAGAUGUAAUACUUU
rnacentral:rRNA from 1 species